rnacentral:lncRNA from 1 species
UGGUCAGUUAGCUUCGAUUAGCAAGUGGAGGAGAAGGACUUAACUAGCGCGUGUGUUGGAGACAGAGUUUUCCGAGCUGCGACCCUACUGUGUAGUGGGAGUGGAGGUGCCUGGGAUUUGCUGCGUUACCGGACUGCGGACAGACUAGAGCGCCGACAGGAUUCGCCAUCAUCGCCCCGCCUUCGCUGGAGAGAUAAGAUGUACAUCUUGUCCAUCAUGGCAGCUGGUCAUCAUCUUCAGUCAGCCUGAGUAAUAAUGGGUGGUCCCUGGAGUGCUGGAGGAGAAGGGGGAGAAUUCAGAGACCAAGG